AUUUGAUGAUAAUACAUAACAUAUAUAAAGGUUGAGGAUGAACACGGAUGCGGCCACUUCCAUUUUUUCCAAAAACCAUCUGAAAAGUGACAUUUUUCGGCAUAUUUGGUAGAUUUUUCAUAUUUGAGCUUGAAUCGGAUCGUUUUUAAUGACUAAAUCAGUUAAAAUCUUUCCCAUAAACUAAUUAAUUCAAAUAAAAUAGACACUUAAGUAUUUAAAAAGUGGUCAAAAUCUUUCGUCAGAUGAACCUGAAAUUUGAGGCCAAAAUCGGUCCUUACC
rnacentral:lncRNA from 1 species